GAAAACGAGAAGAAAAAGGGGUGUUGAAUAGUAUGCAGUGAAAUGCAAGUCAACUGAAUUCAGACAGCACAUGCAGUGCUGAUCAGAGAUUCACACCCUGAAAGAGAUGAAGAACUUUGGCCAUGGACUGCAGUCCACAUUGCUAUGAACAGACAGGUUGUUGGCUCCUGUAGAGUAUUUGUCCUUAUGGAUUAUCUGACAUAAACUUUGACUGGAGACACAAAUAGUGGCUGUGAAGAGACAUUCUGUAUCCAUGGUGACAAUGGCCAGAGUCAGCUGCAGAGAUCUCUCCUUAACAACGGUGCCGUCUAGCUCCUACUCUAGUAGUUAUACUCACCAAGCAGUCAUGAUGUUUACAUCUUUAUCACACGUGACCUUGCUAUGCCUGUGUUUACCAGUAACGCAUGAUACCUGGUGACGAUCAACGAGGAAGAAGAAAUCAAUAACAGUAUCAUCUAGGUUACUGCUACACGACAUGGACUUAUUAUGAGAAUCAGGAGCCGGAGGAGUUGGUUGAUGUUGAUAUAGAAGAGGGAGAGAUUGAUGGUCAUCAUGACCCUCAAAUGAUCAGUCAGAUCUUGUCCGAAGCUGAUCUGGACAUUAAUGAUACAACUAAUAGGCAGACCAUAUUGAUGAUCCAGAGGAGACUCAGAUAGUGCCUCGUACCCUGAUGAUAAUGGUAAUGAUGGAAAUGAUGAUGACGAUGAUGAUGAUGAUGAAGAAAAUGACAAUGAUGAUCAUGAUGAUGAUGAUGAUAAUGAAGAUGAUUAGGGAUCAGAUAUGGAAGGUGAUAGCUUUGAUUUCCAGCCAGAGAAUGGUUCCUUUGGUCAGACAUUUAACAAUCAUUUUGUCGUCCAUGCUGAUGAAAUGUUUGGAGGUAAUGUUCCAGGUUGCUGGGUCCACAAACAGUGGCAGAAGUACUACAGCAUACAAACAAUAUGAACGCCAUGGCAGGCCCGCACACACAAGAGUGGUCCUCUCUAACAAUGAUCUGAGAAUUAUCUGGAGACAGGAGGAAGAUAUCUUUGACGUGUUGUUUCAGUGACAGGUGGAUGGAGUCCAGAGAUCUAGACAGUUGUAUGCAGUCAGAUCUCAACAAUUGUAUGCAGUCACACCUCAGCAGUUGUAUGCAGUCAGGAGAUCUAGACAGUUGUAUUCAGUCAUAUCUUGAAAGUUGUAUGCAGUCCGGAGAUCUCGACAGUUUAUAUGCAGUCAGGAGAUCUCGACAGUUGUAUGCAGCCCGGGGAUCUCGACAGUUGUAUGCAGUCUGGGGAUCUUGACAGCUGUAUGCAGUCCGGAGAUAUUGACAGUUGUAUGCAGUCAGGUGAUCUCGACAGUUGUAUGCAGUCAGGAGAUCUAAGUUCUUUUUGUACUGUUGGCAUUCUCAAGAUUCAGUCUCAAAUAGAAAUAACUUGAUGUACUUGAGCUUACUGUUGGGAAUUUACCUUUGUCAGUCUUCGAAUUUUUGUAUGUCAGUCUUCGAAUUUUUGUAGGUCAGUCUUCGAAUUUUUGUAAUGUUGCACAUAUUUUGCAGUUCUCAUAAAAUUUAGUUAACAACUGACAGUUGUUUUAUGUAUGGAGGCUUGUUUCGUGUCGAAAUAUAAAGAUCUAAUUAUUUUCUUUCUACAGUACAUAUUUUGAGUUAAUAUGAAUAGAACUGUAUAGACAGCAACAAGUAUUGAUUGGCAUGCUUGAUUUUUGUGAGUCUGCUUUGAAAAAUCACAAUACCUCAUCAUUCCCAACAGUCUGAUGUAACAUCGUAGUUUUAAAGAAUUUACUGUGUAAAGAAAUGUAGAUUUUGACAAAAGAUCAAACAUUUGCAAAAGUACCAAUAUUGUGUCAUGUAUAAGCUAUAUAUUAAGAACCUAACAUGUAUUUCAAAUGUAGUUUUAAAGGUACAAAUUGUAACUCCGUGCUCACUGAUGUUUGUUUUUACUAAGAUAACGCCGAUUCAUGCUCUGACAGAUCACGCGAGAUUACAGCCAG
rnacentral:misc_RNA from 1 species